rnacentral:misc_RNA from 1 species
CACCCCCCAAGCCUUGCUUGAUGUUGGGCCAUGACGCGCUGUCAAGCCCCAAACCUUUAGGCGCCCCCUACUGGCCGCGAGCGUAGCAAGAAUUUUUUUCCCUCGCUUCGCGUGUCCAAUGGGCGGGUCGCCGAUUGACCCCCUAAAUUUUACAAG